UGGCACAAGGAGCUUGGGGUAGGACAGCGGUCCUGGAGUGGGGCAAGGAACUUGGGGUGCGACACCGAACUUGGGGUGGGAGAGGUCCCCAGGGGCAGGCAGGGUCCCCAGGGAUCAGGCCAGACCCCUUGUGGUAGGACAGUGUCCCCUAAAUCAGAGGGUCCCCAGGGUCAGGCGGGAUCCCUGGGGUCAGACAAGGUCCAUAGUGGGACAGUGGCCCUGGGGCUGAGGUCAGGUAGGGUUCUCAGCGCAGCAGGACAGGGCGCAGGGUGCAGAGAGGUGAAGGAUGCCAUCCUGGUGCUCUGGGCAUCCCGAGGCCGGUGUGGAGCAGCGCCCGGGGCCCAGCUCGUGCGGCAGCGGGGAUCCCUCGGCUGCAGCGGCGGCUCCUGGCAGCCGGCUGGUCUCAGGGCAGCGGGUUUUGGCAGAGCGGUGAUGUGGUUCGUUAGCCCAAGGGAAACAGCUGGGGAAUGGUCUUUGGUGGUAGAACUGGUUAACGCAACUAGUCACGCUCUGAGCUAUUGUUCUCCACUGGUAUUCAGCUUUGCAGACUUCUGCUUCUAUUUCAGGCCUGCUGGAGGGCUCAUGUACCCAACAGCCUGCCUGUUUUUUCUUCUAAUUAUUUCAGUCAGUCUAAAAAAAGAUUAUCACCUCCCUCGGCAAACCUUGCCUCCAUUGUUCUCAGCAAAGAAGAUAAGAAGGAAAGGAGAAGAAAAGUCUCAACACCCAUUACCACCAGGUUAAAUGUUCUUCUGCAUGGGUAUGGCAAUUACUGGGAGGAAAACCAGGACACAGCUCCUGCUAACCAGGGGUAGAAGAGAUACAGAAGCAUCCAUCAGGGCUGGCUGACCUGUCCUGCAGGGCCAGGGGUUAAUGGAGGAGCUGGGAAUCACCCUGGGACUCGCCAGGAUUUGAAAUGAGAAAUCCUGGUGCUGUCAAGGCGCGUUGACAGGGAAAUGAUUGCCAUGUCAGCAGAAAGACAUCCCCCAUGGGGAGGGGGGGGAAAGCUGCUAAUAGAUGCGCCUGUGAUGAAUCUGGGUUUUGACAAGAGGCUGAGGUGCUGAAUGCACUCAGAAAAGCAAAGGGAGGAUGGACGGGGUCUGACUGGCCAUCACUGAUAUGAGUGGGGAGAGGAAAGCAGGAUGGGGGGGAAUGCAUCAUGCCUGUCCAUCACUGUCAGGGCAUUGCUCAGGCACCACACUCACCCUCCCUCUCCUCUCGCCCACAGGGGUUUGGGGUAGGACCCCCCUGUUUGCUCCACUUGCACAGAGCUGCAAGAGCAGCAGGGGCCGAGCCAAGACCGGAGCUCCGAAGAGCAACUACGCACAAAUAAUUAUUAAUGAUAAUUAGUAAGUACACACUGAUGGCAUCUUCUUCGUACCAGCUCUGCUCCAGGUUUGGCAAAGGCUCUGGUCUCGCCGAGAUGAUCCCCUUGUUGUGUAAACAUUUUCUGUGGCCUCCCCUGCUCCUCCUCUGUGGCCGAGAGCCAAACUGGGCAAAAAAAAUGCUGCUACAAGCACCAGCGAUGGCAUGGAGGGGCCUGGCCAGAGGCUGAGGGGUUGUGAGCAUCCUUCAGAUUUCUCCUUUACCUGGCACAACAGGCACCUCUGAAAGAUUUGACCAGAAAAUCGUGGCUGGCCAUCGUCAUUCAGGGCUGUUGCCCAGCCAGGGUUAGCUCUCUGUUGCCUAACACCAGGUGAGAGCUGGUUUAAAAACAUGUUUUCAUUGUUUCAUUUUCUGAGCCACUAUAAUGGAGCUUCAGGUGAGGAGUGGGAGCAUCCCAGCUUACCCACAGCCUUCUUCAGUGGGGAUGUGAGAGCAAGGCAGGGUGUGGCAGCGCCAAGCUUGGCUCCGGGAUGGUGCCAGCCAUCACAAAAUGAACUCUUGCAAAAAGCCUUUUAGCCAGGCUUUUAAAAUGACCAAAAAAGCCCCCAGAGCACUAGAAAUGUUGUUCAGUAUUCUGUUUCCUGGCAGGGCUGGGGGAGGUGAGGGGAAAACUCUGGCUUUACAGAUAAGGUGUGGGCUGUGGUUCCGAUUCUUGUGGAAAAUUUUAAUUUAAGUGAAAAAGUAAAGAAUAUUUUUAGCAUGCCAUCAAUGUGCAUGUGAGGACAUGUGUGCCGUAAGAGCGUGCAAUGCAGAGGUCGCAUCCUUGUGAUUAUCAGAUGUCCUCACCCUUGCAGGUAGACCCAGAAAGAGGCACUGUCACCCUGCGGCAGGAAUACAGGAGCAGCUGCUGUGGGGGGACCUGUUGCCUGCAAGAGGAUGCUCAUUGCACGAGAACAUGUAGGCUGGUGCAAAAAUGCUGUGGGGCGAGGCAGGGGCAUGCAUCUGCGGUCGGGGUCAGACUGCCCCUUUGGGAUGGGACGUGCUGCCAGACCGUUGUCGUCUACAGUGAAGAGGGGGUGCAAUGCUGCUCCAGCAAAGUGAAAUGGAGUCAGAAGUGACACCGAGGAGGCUGGGCUGGCAGGGAGCUCCGGCUCCUGCAUCCUGCCUGAGGUACCUCGUGACCAGGUCAGCCACCCACCUCAAAUGGCAAUAACCCAUCUCCAGGGCGCCAUGAAGGUCUUCCAAAGCCAGGGGUGUGCCCCAUGUCCUGCAGGCUAAACCACAUCCCUGUGUAAAUGGGCUUGGAGCAGCUUCCUGCGUCCCUCAUCGCAUCACCCCGUGCCUGGGGCAGUCGCCUCUGGACUUUCCCAACAGCUCUGCGGGUUCCUGGCCUCCACUGGUGUCUCUGGCAGUGGCCAAAUACACCAGAAAUAACCUCUGCUCUCGGCUGCUCUGGCAGGAAGGUGGGUUAUAAACACACUGACAGUUUGUUAGUGUUAGCGCUUGCCGGGCUUUCAAGCUGGGCUGAGUUUGGGGUGGGGGGGUGGCUUCCUGCACCUCAGCCCUGGUCUCCCACUGGCUCCCCACUCUGUCUAGGCAGGGGGACUCCCCAGAACACCUCUGCUCUGUGCACGUUGCUUUGAGGUGGUGAGGCUACAGCCCCAGAGGUGCUGGAGGGGCUUUUCUAGGUAACUUUAGGCAGCAUCUCUCGGUGCAUCUCAGCCACCAGCUUUCCUCCGUGCAAUGCAUGAAGUCAGUGGGGUCCUUCUGAAGCUGCUGGGAGAUAAAUAUAUAUAAAAAUAUAUUUAAAUAUAUAUAUAUAAAUGUGAUAAUACCCUCAGAAUCUGAUUUUGCUUGCUAUGGCAGGAAGCAAACCCUCAGAGAAGUGUAAUCUAGCAACAGUGGCACUAAUGACCCCACGCAAUACUGGGCUGGGCAUGCUCUUGCGCUCUGGGCCAUCUCUACCUGCCACCCUGCCUAAUUUCUGGGACCAAAUCCUGCUCCUGGUUGUGCCCAGCACCACCUCUAAGGCUGGCAGAUGCCCUCUGUACAUGCUGGCAGGGAGUAGCUGGGGACACGCCAACCAUCCCUGAGCAUGCAGGGACCUGCAGGUUUUGAAUACCGAUGAUUUGCACAGCAAGUGACCAUGGAGUUUGUCUAAAAUCAUGUGCUAAGUCAUUUGGAUGAGCACGAGGGGAACGCAGGGAAGCAGCAGAAGGGGUUAUGUUUAAAUCAAUAUUACAUUCAAAUCAAUAUUCUGAUUUAUGCUCCUGUCCUAACAAUGCCACCUUCCUUUGCCCCCUGAUUUGAGGGCACAGACCCCAGUGGCUGAGUCUGAGCCACCGUUUCUGUUGUGAACAUGGAUUUUGGCAGAUGUGCUGCAGGAUUUGGGCUGAGUUGUCCUGGGGGACGAGGAGGGGAGGAAGAAAAAAAGAAGCAACAACCUGACCAUGACUGUGGUCUGUGCACCAAUCAAGCUGGUAAGACCGGUGACACCUGAAAUUGGGUGUAAAAAGGAGUCUUGUCAGUUGCUCCUCACUGCUCACCUUUUUUUGGGGUUGCAGGAUGCUCUUUGCUGGCCUUGCUUCUUGCUCCCACCUUUCUCAGCACCUCUUGGGCCCAAGGCUUAGUCCUGGCUCCUUAGUUCCCGGCCCUGGUCAUUUGGGUGCAGCCUGGACCCUGUGCUGGGAUCUUCAGCUCCAGGAUGCAGCAUUGGCCAGCCCCAGGCCACCUCCCUACCUUAUCCUUCUGCAGGGUCCUCCAUCCCUGGUCCCUGCCUCCAUCCCUGGUCCCUGCUUCUUGUCCUCAGCCCACCUCAGUCUGAACCACCACAGUCUCACCAGCAGCCAUGGGGUCCUGCUCCUCUGCCCCGUGCCCAGAAAGAAACCUCAUGGCUGAAAUGCGCUGACCUCCUGCUGCUGCUUUUUAGGGAGUUGCCAAAAAUCCUGUUUCCUGGUGAGCUGACUGUGGGCUUCCAGUACCUCACCCUGCUUGAACGGAGCUGGGUGAGUGGUGGAGCAUGUCAAGGUACCUGCGGUGGUAGAGUGGCUUCAGGUGAGCAGCAUCAGUUGCUGAAUCCAGCCCUGGCUGGUGCUUUCAACAGGUUUUUUGCCCCACAGGGCUGGGGCUGCUCAGUCUGGCUGGACCCAUGCGGUCACAGCUGUUGGUGCUGUAUUUUCUUAGAUCCUCAUCUAAGGAAAGGAAAAUCCGCUUUCCUGAUGCAUGCGGUUUGGGUGUGAGAGACCAAGGCAGGAGAGAAGAUGCUGGCUGGUACCUCUGGGGGGAAACACCAGGAAGGAGGAAGAGUUGUUUAAGCUGAAAGACAAUGUUGGCACCAGAACAAAUGGGACUAAAACAGGACAGGAAUAAAUGGAGACUGGAAAUGAGGAGGGCUCUAAUCCUCUCAGAUGCUGCCACGGCUUCUCAGGAGGCGCAGUGGGGAUGGGAAAGCUUUGGGCAGUUUGAUCCCAGGGUGCUGGACUGGACCAAGCUCAUGGACCUGACGGGUCCGUGUCCCCUCAUGGCGCAGGAGGGAGCUGGUGCCUCUAAGCCCUCUGCAGCGGGUAGGGAGGGAGCAGAGCUGCUGCCCUGGAGCUGGAGACAUGCUUUCCGUGGCUAAUGUGAGGUUUUGAGGCUGGAGCUGGACCACUGGGUCUAAGCCAAACUCAGUCUGAGGCUUGCCCCACAACUCUGGGGGAUCAACCCACAAAGUGGGCAACUCUCCACCCGUGUAGCCUUCUGGUCUCUCUUACUCCUUCCCCAGGGGACUCGAUACAUCCAAUAUCUGCCAAGAAACCUGCUCAUCUCCAAAACCUCCAUGCCGUGGAGGGCUGUGGUGCUCCCAGCACGUGCCCAGCUGCAGUUUCCCUGUGUACGCUUGCACCUCACCCUGUGUGCAGGCUUUAGAGCUGUGAAAUGUGUGGAAAUGCUCUAUUUGUGUAAAUUUAUGUUUGAGAUUGUUCUCACAUAGGAUAGAUUUUGGGGUCACUGGAAAGGCACAUAGUCAAGCAGAGGGACCAUGUGACUCCCUGUGGAGUCGGCUGAGGCCAACGAUGCAAAAAUCCUGCAUGCUGGAAGUGAAAUACAGGAAUACAGAGGCCCUUCUGCCGAUACCAUCUAAAUGCAGUUGUUUAAGCUACUGCAUGUCACAAAAUAACCCAAAGGAAAUCUCUGCGGCAAAAAGUGUUUUCACAUAAGCAACUCGAAGCCUCAAUGGCCCUUGGCUACCAAUGCUGCCUUCAGCGCUCUUGCAAAAAUAUGAAAGCAAGUAAAUGUUUUAGUUUUUGAGUGCAAAUAGUUUGUGGUCAUUGAAUUUUUUUUCUCAUUCUAUGGUUAUAUGUCAUCUGAGCAGCAGCAUCCCAGCUCUGGGUUUUGGAUGUUUAAUUAUAGCUGGACUGAUAAGUUGGUGUGUUGGCUCUGAGGUGGGAGUGAGCUCAGGCAGUCGUGCCCCAGGUCCUAGAAAUUUGGAGUAAUAAAUCAGGGCAGAUGCAUCUCAAAGGCAGCAGCAGAUCCAGGGCAAUGCUCCAACUUCCCAGAGGCAGCUUGAGGGAUGUCCGGCUGCUGCCCAGUUGAUGGUGAUGAUGUUAGUGCAUGAAUUUAGUUGGAAAUUGAUGCUGGCACAUGAAUUUGGCAGAGAUGCAGUUGGUUAUUUGUGGCUGGAUUUGCAGGAAGCAUCAUGGGAAGCUCAUUUGGCUCAGGUUUGGUUUUGCCAAAAAAAAAACCCAACCCAAAACUCAAGAGUGACAAGAAGCCCUGAAGGCACCUACAGCCUCUGGAGCCCAGCAAGGUAAAAACUGUCUGGAGUGCUGUCAGGCACCCCCCAUUCAGUCUAACUGUACCGCAAAAUACUGUGUCUGAGACAUAGGAGCAAACCCAAAGUGUUCCUUUCGUUUGCUUUAGGUAGCAGAGGGAAACUGAUAUCUGCAUGGAAUGGCCUGGGAAAGCCACACGCUGCAGGUUGAAAAAAGGGAUUUUUCAUUUUGUGGCAGAAAUAUAAGGGGGGGGGAGGGAAGAGAGAAAAAAAAUCAAUUCAGAUUAAACUGAAACAAUGUGAUUUAUAAUUCUCCAAGUGUUCUGGUUUUAGAUCACCCCAGAAUAGUCAGUUUGACAAGAAAUGCAAAGUUCAUGUUUGUAGAUCAAUUAGUCCCUUCCUAAAACUUUAAAAAACCCCAAAACAUUUCCAAAUAUGAGGUCAAACCCCACCAUUCUUGACAAAGAUUCAAGAACAAAAGCUGGGUAUUUCUGAUGUGUUUUGUUUUAGGAACCCCAGAAGAAAUGUUUUGACAUUUCCAAACCAGCUUCUUUUUUAACUUCCAAAUAUUUCCAAAAUUUGCCUGAAAUCAGUAAAUAGCUUUGAAAACUACAGUGAGCAGGCAACCCGUAUCCUGCUGCUGGGGAAAGGCUGUGGUGUGGGAGCCCAGCAUCCCCAGUGAGUGCAUGGAGAGGCAACCUGCAGGUUUAUUAUCCAGGGAAAUGUGGGAUGUGGGUGCAAUUUGCCUGUCCAUGCCUUGUCAGGGCCACCUCCAGGUUUCCCUGAGGGUGCUGAUGGCCAAGAGCAUCCUUGGUCCCUGCUGCCAGUGCUUGGGUCCCUGCAGGAGAAGGCUGUGAAAGUCCUCUGGCUCCUGGAUCCAGGCUUCAGGGUGAUGCUCUCCCUGAAGAUGCCUCGCUCAGAGGCGGCAGACACCAGCUGAGCCUUGGGGUGAGCAGGGAGGGGGUGAGAUUUACGGCUGUGCUCUGGUUUUGGUGGUGACUUGGGAGGUAGGAUUGGAUCAAGUGGAUUCCAGGGAGAUUUACAGCGAGUAAACCCGUUCAUGUGAAGAGCUUAUCGCCUUGGCCUGUUGUACCUGAGACAGGUUUUGGAAAUAUUGCCCGUGGCUGAGCAGCAGAGACGAAGCGGGGAGUAUGAAACCUUCUCCUGGGAUGGGAUUUUCCUCCUGCCAAGUGUUCAUCCCUCCUUAACCCUGCGGCAAGGCAGCACAGGGACCACGAGUGCUUUGCAUCCCUCUCCCAGUGCUGCUGCCACCUCCCAGCCUUUCCAGCCAGGCUGGGAGCUUGGCAGCCGGUUGCCUGGCUUGCAGCCGUGCCGGUGUCCCACCUUAGUGACAAUCCAGCGCAGGCACAUGGAUGAAACAAGCUGUGUGCCUGGGAGAA